rnacentral:misc_RNA from 1 species
UCCCCGUUUCACAGGGCGGUCUGAUCAGAGUGCUCAAUCCUUUCGGAUUGAUGGCAACAGAUCAUAAGGGUUGCGCUCGUUGCGGGACUUAACCCAACAUCUCACGACACGAGCUGACGACAGCCAUGCAGCACCUGUGCAAAUUGCCCCUUGCGGGACUCAUCGGUUUUCACCGAUUUAGAGAUGCAUGUCAAGCCCAGGUAAGGUUCUUCGCGUUGCAUCGAAUUAAGCCACAUACUCCACCGCUUGUGCGGGCCCCCGUCAAUUUCUUUGAGUUUUAAUCUUGCGAUCGUACUCCCCAGGCGGCGCGUUUAACGCGUUAGCUCCGGCACGGAAGGGGUCGAAUCCUCCCACACCAAACGCGCACCGUUUACUGCCAGGACUAC